rnacentral:rRNA from 1 species
AUGAAAAGGAAGGGACAUAUACACCCAGACCACAACCUGGGUGUUAAUCCUGAUCUAUUCCUACGCCCUAGGGUUUCUCACCUGUGGUGCGAUCCUCCCCCCGCCGCCGCAAACCAGAGCAGCGCACCUCCUACCGCAACCAUGGCGGAUCGUUUCGACUUGGAGAGAGGUGGGGGUGGAAGAGAGGUUGAUAGGGGUAACAAUUGGAGAUCGGGAAGUGGUUAUGGAAGGGAUGCUCAAUUUGAUCGCCAUGAUCAAGGGUUUCAAGCUCGUCCUCGCCCUCCCUUCAGGAAUUUCCCAGGCAAUCAAUUUCAGAGAGAUGGAUACAAUAACUGGAAUCAUGAAGGGGGUGGCAGCUGGGACUCGCGUCAGUUUCAUCAUAGACCGCCACGGCAGUUCAAUUUGCCGCCUGCUGCCAGUAAGUAUCAGCUGAAGAACUCCACAGUGGCUAGCGGUGGAGGAGCUACAGGGAGUGAAAUUCAGACAUCAAAAACUGUGUCUACAAGUGCAGUGCAGACUGGCGAUCCGAGAGGGGCAGGUGGAUCUGACAACAAAAACCCUGGAUCAGAAAAGAUCAUCUGCCACAAGUGUGGGGAGAAAGGGCAUAACUCCAAGGGAUGUGAAGCGAAGGUCAAGUGCUCUAUCUGUACCAAAGAUACACAUGUUGCAGAGUUCUGUGCCUGGCUACGUCAAAAAAAGCCGGUAGCUUCUCUGGUGGGUUUUGGUGGCGAAGGAUUGGGCAUAUUUGUGGCUGAGCAUGCAAAAGAUUUGGUUGGGAAUAAUAAGAAUGAUGUUGUUGCUUUAGUGAGGCUGAGAGAAGGAUGUGAUUUGGACAUUGAACCAGAGGUCCUAAUCAAGAGUCUGGCGAAAACAUACCCUUGGCAAUGGGAAUGGAAAGCGAAGAAGGUAUCGGAUGGAGUCUUUCUUGUCAAUUUCCCUUCUGCAACAAGAAUCAACGAAGUUGCCAUCUACGACUGGGUUCCGCUGAAAGGAGGUAACAUCUUGGUUAAUAUGAGGAUUUGGAAUGACGAUGCUAUGGCUGUGGGAAAACUUCAGUGGUGUGGGUCAGAGCCAAAGGUGUUCCAAAAACAAUGA